AAGCGAUGAACUGAGAGAGCGUGUCAGCAAGCGUUGGCUCAGGGAGCUUCACCGGAGGGGUUCAGUGGUAAACCUCAAGCUGACUAGCGCAAGCGAAAGAAAAGCACAGAAA
rnacentral:sRNA from 12 species